rnacentral:rRNA from 1 species
UACAGGGGGGGCAAGCGUUGUUCGGAAUUACUGGGCGUAAAGGGCCAGUAGGCGGCCAACUAAGUCCGACGUGAAAUCCCCAGGCUUAACCUGGGAACUGCGUCGGAUACUGGAUGGCUUGAAUUCGGGAGAGGGAUGCAGAAUUCCAGGUGUAGCGGUGAAAUGCGUAGAUAUCUGGAGGAAUACCGGUGGCGAAGGCGGCAUCCUGGACCGACAUUGACGCUGAGGAGCGAAAGCCAGGGAGCAAAGCGGG